CCCCUCCACUCCCCAUCACACACGAAGUGAACGAUCUAUGUGAAGGAAAGUUCUGUCGUCCCUUCUCCUUCUUUUUUUUCACCCCCUCGCCACACCUCCUCCCUUCUCCCCUCAGGGGGGAGGCACAUUGUCUGUGGCGCAGUGUCCGGUUUCAAGCUGCACGGCGCGCUCUCUCCUGCGUGGGUCACAAAUAGAAGCGAGAGGGUCCGGACGGAGGAGGUUCUGCUGAGACACGGAGCUCCGGACGCGGCUCAAAUUGAGGAUAUUUCAAUAUUCAUCUUUGUUGUUCUUCACUGAAUCUUCUCCACGGACAAGACGCGCGGCUCACCUGGUGUGUCUCUCGGAUGCUCUUGGCCCCUGUGGCCUGAGGAGAAGUGAGCCAAGCCCAGGCCCCCAUGGGACGCCCUGUUAGCCAGCAUGCGCUGCUGCUGCUGCAGUGCAUGCUGGUGCUGCAGCUCGGAGGCGUGGCCGGCAGGAGAGGGCCCGUGCUGCUCCCCGAGUCGCCGUGUCACAAGACGGAGCACCCCGUCAUCCCCCACUUGGGCAUGGAGCCGUGGAUGUUCCGGUUCAAGGCAGAGGGCACGGUGGAUUACUCGCAGCUGACCUUCGACCCCGGCCAGAACGAACUGAUUGUGGGUGCCAGAAAUCACCUCUUUCGGCUCAAUCUGGAGGAUUUGACACUGAUCCAGGAGGCCGAGUGGCACUGUGAUGAGUUCACCAAGGGAGCCUGCUUCAGCCGAGGGAAGUCUGAGGAGGAGUGCCAGAACUACAUCAGGGUGCUGCUGGUGAAUGGGAACCGGCUGUUUACCUGCGGGACCAAUGCCUUCACUCCCAUCUGCACCAACCGCACGCUGACGAACCUGACCGAGAUCCACGAUCAGAUCAGCGGAAUGGCUCGGUGUCCUUACAAUCCCCUUCACAACUCCACCGCCCUCAUCACGUCCAGCGGGGAGCUCUACGCAGCCACAGCCAUGGACUUCUCUGGGCGAGACCCCGCCAUCUACCGCAGCUUGGGCGGCCUGCCACCCCUGCGCACGGCCCAGUACAACUCCAAGUGGCUUAAUGAGCCAAACUUUGUGUCAUCUUACGACAUCGGCAACUUCACCUACUUCUUCUUUCGGGAGUACGCGGUGGAGCAUGACUGCGGUCGCACGGUCUUCUCUCGGGCGGGCCGCGUGUGCAAGAACGACAUCGGGGGGCGCUUCCUUCUGGAGGACACGUGGACGACCUUCAUGAAGGCCAGGCUCAACUGUUCCAGACCGGGAGAAAUCCCCUUUUACUACAACGAGCUGCAGGGUACCUUCUACCUGCCCGAGCUGGAGCUGCUCUACGGCAUCUUCACCACCAAUGUAAACAGCAUCGCUGCCUCCGCUGUGUGUGCCUUCAAUCUCAGUGCCAUAUCCCAGGUCUUCAACGGACCUUUCAAGUACCAGGAGAACUCUCGCUCAGCCUGGCUGCCCUACCCCAACCCCAACCCGGAUUUUCAGUGUGGUACCAUCGACUCGGGCUCCUACGUCAACCUGACUGAGAGAAACCUGCAGGACGCCCAGAAGUUUUUACUAAUGCACGAGGUGGUCCAGCCCGUGGCUCCUGUGCCCUACUUUAUGGAGGACAGCGUCCGCUUCAGCCACGUGGCCGUGGAUGUGGUGCAGGGCAAGGACAUGCUCUUUCACAUCAUCUAUCUAGCUACUGAUUACGGCACUAUCAGAAAAGUACUCUCCCCGCUCAAUCAGUCCACGGGGAGCUGCCUUUUGGAAGAGAUCGAGUUGUUCCCGCCCAGGAAGAGGCAGCCCAUCCGGAGCCUGCUGAUCCUGCACAGCCGCAGCGAGCUGUACGUGGGAGUACGAGACCAGGUCAUCAAGAUCCCCCUGAAGAGGUGUAGCUACCACAAGGGCAGAGAAGCAUGUGUAGGCGCUCGAGACCCUUACUGUGGUUGGGACCUGCUCCUGAAGAAGUGCACCACCUUAGAGGAGAGUGCCCGAAUGAGCCAAUGGGAGCAGAGCAUUACCAAGUGUCCUGUCCGUAAUGUGACAGUCGACGGAGGUUUCGGGGCCUGGUCGGGGUGGUCCGCUUGCAGCCAUAACGACGGGGGAAGCGCCGGGUCCUGCCUGUGUCGGACUCGGGCAUGCGAUAGCCCCACCCCGCAGUGUGGCGGCCAGAAGUGUCACGGGAUCAGCGUUGAGGUAGCCAACUGCUCCAGAAACGGAGCAUGGACUCCCUGGACUUCCUGGUCCCCGUGCAGCACCAGCUGCGGUAUUGGCUUCCAGGUGCGGCAGCGCUCCUGCAGCAACCCGACGCCUCGCCACGGUGGACGCGUGUGUGUGGGGCAGAACCGCGAGGAGAGGUACUGCAAUGAACACCUGCCCUGCCCUCCUCACGUCUACUGGUCGGCCUGGUCGGCAUGGGAACGCUGCAACGUGCCUUGCGGCGGCGGCAUCCAGUCGCGACGGAGGACCUGUGAGAACGGCAACGACUGUCCCGGGUGUGGUCAGGAGUACCAGCCUUGCAACAGCCAGCCUUGUCCCGACCUAAAGAAGACCACCCCCUGGACCCCAUGGACGCCAGUGAAUAUUUCCGAUAAUGGCGGCCACUAUGAGCAGCGAUUCCGCUACACGUGCAAGGCUCGCAUUCCGGACCCGAACUUGCUGGAGGUGGGCAGGCAGAGGAUUGAGAUGCGCUACUGCUCCAGCGACGGCUCUACGGGCUGCUCAACUGACGGCGAGGUUCUUCAUCUGGGGAAGGUUUCAGGACGCACCGUAAACGGCGGCUGGUCCUCGUGGUCUUCCUGGUCGCAAUGCAGCAGAGACUGCAGCCGCGGGAUCCGCAGCAGGAAGCGGACUUGCAGCAACCCGGAGCCCAAGUAUGGAGGUCAGACCUGCCAGGGGGCGGCACAGGAGUACCAGGAGUGCAACGUCACUCCUUGUCCUGUGGAUGGCAGCUGGUCCUGCUGGUCUUCAUGGUCCAAGUGCUCUGUGACGUGCGGAGGAGGACACUACAUGAGGACUCGAACUUGCAGUAACCCCCCGCCUGCUUACGGAGGUGACAUCUGCCUUGGCCUGCACACCGAGGAGGCACUAUGCAACACCCAAGCCUGUCCAGAGAGUUGGUCCAGCUGGUCUCAGUGGUCCCGGUGUGACUCCAGGGGGGCCCAGUUGCGUGUCCGUCACUGUGAUGUCCUGUUUCCUACCGGCAACCAGUGCUCGGGAAACAGCAGUGAGAGCAGGUCGUGCUCGCCUGACUCCAACCUCAUACCAGAAGUCUCCAUCGCACGCUCCAGUCAGGAGGAGAGGCGCUGUGGAGACUUCAACCUCUUCCACAUGAUCGCCGUGGGUCUGAGCAGCUCCAUCCUGGGUUGUCUGGUCACCCUGCUGGUCUACUCGUACUGCCAGCGCUACCAGCAGCAGGCGCACGACGCCACCGUCAUCCACCCCAUCUCCGCCGCGCCGCUCAACACCAGCAUCACCAACCACAUCAACAAGCUGGACAAAUACGACACGGUGGAGGCCAUCAAGCCCGACGUUUCGGUUCUGUUGCCCCUGGACGAGCCCGCCAUUCACCAGCCCGUCUCUGCUCACAUGGGGGUGUCCAUGCGGGGCCUGGAGAUUUUCUACUAACCUCUGACCUCCCGACAACAUCCCGCCUCUUGACCCCUCUCCCCCAAUUCCCUGACAACUCUCCGACCCAAACCACCACCACCACCACCACCACUGCUACUACUUCUUCUUCCUCUUCCUCCCCCCACUACCACCACCGUGCCCCCUCCACUUCCUGUGGCACUUCCUGUGCGUGACAGGCCUUCAACAAAAACAAUCUGAUUCUGGAGGAACGCAAGAAGUACUUCAACCCGCAGCUGUCCGGGAAGACCUACACCAACGCAUACUUCACCGACCUCAACACCUACGACGACUAUUAGACGAAUUCUGCCAAACAAACCUCC